GGUCCCGUAGUGUAGCGGUUAACACGCCUGCCUGUCACGCAGGAGAUCGCGGGUUCGAUUCCCGUCGGGGACC
rnacentral:tRNA from 1 species